UGAAAUCAGAGGGUUCCUUGAUAGCUUAUGGGACCAACUCAAGUCAGUACUUAUUCCAACUAUCACAAAGCUAGCCAUUGGAGCAAUUGGUAAACGAGAAAUUGAAAUCAGAGGAUUCCUCGGCAGUUUUUGGGACAAACUGAAGCCAACACUUAUUCCAGCUAUCGAAAAUCUUGUUCUUGGAAGCAUCGGCAAACGAGAUAUGUAAG